rnacentral:rRNA from 1 species
UACGGAGGGUGCGAGCGUUAAUCGGAAUAACUGGGCGUAAAGGGCACGCAGGCGGGCUUUUAAGUGAGAUGUGAAAUCCCCGGGCUUAACCUGGGAAUAGCAUUUCAGACUGGGAGUCUAGAGUGCUUUGGGGGGGGGUGGAAUUCCACGUGUAGCGGUGAAAUGCGUAGAGAUGAGGAGGAACACCGAAGGCGAAGGCAGGCCCUUGGGAAUGUACUGACGCUCAUGUGCGAAAGCGUGGGGAGCAAACAGG